rnacentral:rRNA from 1 species
AUACGUAGGGUGCAAGCGUUAAUCGGAAUUACUGGGCGUAAAGCGUGCGCAGGCGGUUUUGUAAGACAGUGGUGAAAUCCCCGGGCUCAACCUGGGAACUGCCAUUGUGACUGCAAGGCUGGAGUGCGGCAGAGGGGGAUGGAAUUCCGGGUGUAGCCGUGGAAUGCGUAGAUAUGCGGAGGAACACCGAUGGCGAAGGCAAUCCCCUGGGCCUGCACUGACGCUCAUGCACGAAAGCGUGGGGAGCAAACAGGAUUAGAUACCCUGGUAGUCCACGCCCUAAACGAUGUCAACUGGUUGUUGGGGAUUUAUUUUCUCAGUAACGAAGCUAACGCGUGAAGUUGACCGCCUGGGGAGUACGGCCGCAAGGUUAAAACUCAAAUGAAUUGACGGGG